rnacentral:rRNA from 1 species
CGGGUCUAAUACCGGAUACGACCACCUGGCGCAUGCCAUGGUGGUGGAAAGCUUUAUGCGGUUUUGGAUGGACUCGCGGCCUAUCAGCUUGUUGGUUGGGGUAAUGGCCCACCAAGGCGACGACGGGUAGCCGGCCUGAGAGGGUGACCGGCCACACUGGGACUGAGACACGGCCCAGACUCCUACGGGAGGCAGCAGUGGGGAAUAUUGCACAAUGGGCGAAAGCCUGAUGCAGCGACGCCGCGUGAGGGAUGACGGCCUUCGGGUUGUAAACCUCUUUCAGCAGGGAAGAAGCGAAAGUGACGGUACCUGCAGAAGAAGCGCCGGCUAACUACGUGCCAGCAGCCGCGGUAAUACGUAGGGCGCAAGCGUUAUCCGGAAUUAUUGGGCGUAAAGAGCUCGUAGGCGGUUUGUCGCGUCUGCUGUGAAAGCCCGGGGCUCAACCCCGGGUCUGCAGUGGGUACGGGCAGACUAGAGUGAUGUAGGGGAGACUGGAAUUCCUGGUGUAGCGGUGAAAUGCGCAGAUAUCAGGAGGAACACCGAUGGCGAAGGCAGGUCUCUGGGCAUUAACUGACGCUGAGGAGCGAAAGCAUGNGGAGCGAACAGGAUUAGAUACCCUGGUAGUCCAUGCCGUANACGUUGNGCACUAGGUGU